GUCAGAAUGAUGAAGAGUUAUACCAUUGCACGGGUUUGCUUUUCUCCACUUAGAUCUCUUUCAUCGGCUGCUUCCAUGGAUUAGAUUAUGGAUUAAUUUUGUUGGUAAGUUUAGGCAAUGAAGCACUCAGCAAAUUUUAAUACAUUAUUAGGAGUUUAUGCUUUUCGAACAUUAAGAACAAAAUGCCUCUGUAAGAAUGUUUCUCAGUUUUUGUGUAUUGUAUAUAAGCUCUGUGGUUUCUCCAUUGGUGUUACUUUAUCUUGGUAUAUAAAGCUCCGUUGCUUGGAAUUCGCUUGAAUUA